CGGUCCUAUAAGUCAGUGGUGAAAGACGGCAGCUUAACUGUCGCAGUGCCUUUGAUACUGUAGGACUUGAAUCUAUUUGAAGUGGGCGGAAUAAGACAAGUAGCGGUGAAAUGCAUAGAUAUGUCUUAGAACUCCGAUUGCGAAGGCAGCUCACUAAGUUAGUAUUGACGCUGAUGCACGAAAGCGUGGGGAUCAAACAGGAUUAGAUACCCUGGUAGUCCACGCCCUAAACGAUGAUAACUCGAUGUUUGCGAUACACAGUAAGCGUCCAAGCGAAAGCGUUAAGUUAUCCACCUGGGGAGUACGGUCGCAAGAUUGAAACUCAAAGGAAUUGACGGGGGCCCGCACAAGCGGAGGAGCAUGUGGUUUAAUUCGAUGAUACGCGAGGAACCUUACCCGGGCUUGAAAGUUAGUGAAUGAUCCAGAGACGGAUCAGUCCUUCGGGACACGAAACUAGGUGCUGCAUGGCUGUCGUCAGCUCGUGCCGUGAGGUGUUGGGUUAAGUCCCGCAACGAGCGCAACCCCUAUGUUUAGUUGCCAGCACAUUAAGGUGGGGACUCUAAACAGACUGCCAGCGUAAGCUGUGAGGAAGGUGGGGACGACGUCAAGUCAUCAUGGCCCUUACGUCCGGGGCUACACACGUGCUACAAUGGAUGGUACAGCGGGCAGCUACAUAGCAAUAUGAUGCUAAUCUC
rnacentral:rRNA from 1 species